rnacentral:tRNA from 1 species
UAGGUUGAAGCCCGCUGGAUUGGGUGUUUAGUUGUUAAUUAAAAGAUUACGGGAUUGAGGCCCGUCAGCCUAGU